UUUGGUAAAGCACUUUUGGCGGGGAAAGAAACGACGCUUGCUAAUACCAGGCGUUAAUGACGGUACCCGCAGAAUAAGCACCGGCUAACUACGUGCCAGCAGCCGCGGUAAUACGUAGGGUGCGAGCGUUAAUCGGAAUUACUGGGCGUAAAGCGUGCGCAGGCGGUUCUGUAAGACGGAUGUGAAAGCCCCGGGCUCAACCUGGGAACUGCAUUCGUGACUGCAGGGCUAGAGUGUGUCAGAGGGAGGUGGAAUUCCGCGUGUAGCAGUGAAAUGCGUAGAGAUGCGGAGGAACACCGAUGGCGAAGGCAGCCUCCUGGGAUAACACUGACGCUCAUGCACGAAAGCGUGGGGAGCAAACAGGAUUAGAUACCCUGGUAGUCCACGCCCUAAACGAUGUCAACUAGUUGUCGGGUCUUAAUUGACUUGGUAACGCAGCUAACGCGUGAAGUUGACCGCCUGGGGAGUACGGCCGCAAGGUUAAAACUCAAAGGAAUUGACGGGGACCCGCACAAGCGGUGGAUGAUGUGGAUUAAUUCGAUGCAACGCGAAAAACCUUACCUACGUUUGACAUGCCAGGAAGGCCGGAGAGAUCUGGUCGUGCCCGAAAGGGAACCUGGACACAGGUGCUGCAUGGCUGUCGUCAGCUCGUGUCGUGAGAUGUUGGGUUAAGUCCCGCAACGAGCGCAACCCUUAUCAUUAGUUGCUACGCAAGGGCACUCUAAUGAGACUGCCGGUGACAAACCGGAGGAAGGUGGGGAUGACGUCAAGUCCUCAUGGCCCUUAUACGUAGGGCUUCACACGUCAUACAAUGGUCGGUACAGAGGGCUGCAAACCCGCGAGGGGGAGCCAAUCCCAGAAAACCGAUCGUAGUCCGGAUUGCACUCUGCAACUCGAGUGCAUGAAGUCGGAAUCGCUAGUAAUCGCGGAUCAGCAUGUCGCGGUGAAUACGUUCCCGGGUCUUGUACACACCGCCCGUCACACCAUGGGAGUGGGUUCUACCAGAAGUAGUUAGCUUAACCGCAAGGAGGGCGAUUACCACGGUAGGGCUCAUGACUGGGGUGAAGUCGUAACAAGGUAGCCGAAUCUCUGAAGAUCCGCGCUUCUCGUCCC
rnacentral:rRNA from 1 species